UGGGCUGGUCGAAAGACCCUGGUCCACCGAAUGGCGGGGAAUUUCCCC
rnacentral:sRNA from 12 species